UGAAUAUGCUUCUGCUGGAGCGCUUUGCCACCGCCACACCGACCACUGAAGGCAACACUGAGGACAGAGACGCAGGCGGGGUUCAGUGCAAAGACAAUCACGUCAGGAACAAGGCCACAUCUCCCUGCGAUGAAAGAGUGAGUUGCAUCCAGCGAGACAGCGUCCACCUCGUCCCUCUGUGGCAUCAGUGAUGUUGGGAGAGAAUACAGUCGCGGAUUGAGGCCGCUUUAACACACACUAGCGGGUCUGACUUUAUACUCAGAGCCCACUGCUCACAUUUCUUCUGCUCUGCAUGGCUGAUACAGCACCAUCGCAC